rnacentral:rRNA from 1 species
GCGCGCGCAGGCGGUUCCUUAAGUCUGAUGUGAAAGCCCCCGGCUCAACCGGGGAGGGUCAUUGGAAACUGGGGAACUUGAGUGCAGAAGAGGAGAGCGGAAUUCCACGUGUAGCGGUGAAAUGCGUAGAGAUGUGGAGGAACACCAGUGGCGAAGGCGGCUCUCUGGUCUGUAACUGACGCUGAGGCGCGAAAGCGUGGGGAGCGAACAGGAUUAGAUACCCUGGUAGUCCACGCCGUAAACGAUGAGUGCUAAGUGUUAGAGGGUUUCCGCCCUUUAGUGCUGCAGCAAACGCAUUAAGCACUCCGCCUGGGGAGUACGGCCGCAAGGCUGAAACUCAAAGGACUUGACGGA